GGGCUAUAGCUCAGUGGCAGAGCACUUGCCUUGCAAGUGCGAGACAUUUGGUUCGAUCCUUAGCACCA
rnacentral:tRNA from 1 species